rnacentral:rRNA from 1 species
ACUUCGGUCAAGUUGAACGGAUGACUUAGUGGCGGACGGGUGAGUAACGCGUGAGGAACCUGCCUUUCAGUGGGGGACAACAGUUGGAAACGACUGCUAAUACCGCAUAAUGUAUUCUGACCGCAUGAUCGGAAUACCAAAGAUUUAUUGCUGAAAGAUGGCCUCGCGUCUGAUUAGAUAGUUGGUGAGGUAACGGCCCACCAAGUCGACGAUCAGUAGCCGGACUGAGAGGUUGAACGGCCACAUUGGGACUGAGAUACGGCCCAGACUCC